AUUGAACGCUGGCGGCAGGCCUAACACAUGCAAGUCGAACGAGUGGCGGACGGGUGAGUAAUGUCUGGGACACUGCCUGAUGGAGGGGGAUAACUACUGGAAACGGUAGCUAAUCCCGCAUACCAUCAGAUGUGCCCAGAUGGGAGUAGCUAGUUGGUGGGGUAACGGCUCACCAAGGCGACGAUCCCUAGCUUGUCUGAGAGGAGGACCAGUCACACGGGAACUGAGAAACGGUCGAGACUCCUACGGGAGGCAGCAGUGGGGAAUAUUGCACAAUGGGCGCAAGCCUGAUGCAGCCACGCCGCGUGUAGGAAGAAGGUCUUCGGGCUGUAAAGUACUUUCAUCGGGGAGGCGUUACUCGUAGAAGAAGCAACGGCUAACUCCGUGCCAGCAGCCGCGGUAAUAC
rnacentral:rRNA from 1 species